rnacentral:tmRNA from 1 species
GGGGGCGAUCUGGCUUCGACGGGGGUGCGAGAUCGCGGAACGCGUGCCGAGGCCCAUGCACCUCGUAAAUCCCGUGGAAAAACAACGUAACUGCGAACGCAGACUACGCUCUCGCCGCUUAAUACCGGUGAGCGAUCAACUUGAGAGCGCCUACGGCUCGGGAUUGAUCGUCAUUUAGUAGGCUGGCUGCCACGUUCCGCCUUGAGGCGUGGUAGCGAGACACAUCGGGGAUGGCGGCCGGGGCUUUUGGCUCCGUUUCUAACCGGUCGCGACACGAGAACGGAGACACGCACGUAGGGGUCUGCGACGACGUGUUCUCGGACGCGGGUUCAACUCCCGCCGCCUCCACUU